rnacentral:rRNA from 1 species
UACGUAGGGGGCAAGCGUUGUCCGGAUUUAUUGGGCGUAAAGAGCGUGUAGGCGGCCAGUUAGGUCCGUUGUGAAAACUCGAGGCUCAACCUCGAGACGCCGAUGGAAACCAACUGGCUAGAGUCCGGAAGAGGCGAGUGGAAUUCCUGGUGUAGCGGUGAAAUGCGCAGAUAUCAGGAGGAACACCAAUGGCGAAGGCAGCUCGCUGGGACGGUACUGACGCUGAGACGCGAAAGCGUGGGGAGCAAACAGG